CUUGGCUUCUUUUUUUUUUUAUUAUUUUUUUGCCUUUUGCUUUGCACGCACACAUACACAUACGAGCAUCCAAAGCCAGACAGAGAGGGGAAAGGUAUAUUAAACGAAGGUGAGGCAUUCCCGAAUCGCAUAUAUGUAUGUUGUGUCCCACCUCCGGUGCUGCGUGUGUGUGUCCUGCACGCACUUACAAACCCUAUGGGGGGAUAAGCGUGAGAGUGCACUCUGGGGAAUGCCUCACCUUGUAUUAACACACUUUGGAGCAGGCUGCUGAUGUCGGUGCUGCCGCUGCUUUCUUUGCAGGCGACUGCGGCGCUGCCUUUUUGGCGGUUUUUACAAGAAUUUUGUUUGUCAAACAAUUACCAAUUCUAGCGGGAAUGAGGCGUCGGGACAGGCAUAUGGCUAUUAAUCAAUUAAAACCAUCACACACACACGAGCAAACGACAAAUGUUCGUCUGCGCCGCUUUUGCUCUCACUCUUUCACGUACUUCUCUUAGGAUUCGCCGCUGCUUUCCUCCUGUGACUUUGUGUGUGUUUUUUAAACUGCACUUUCGAUCAACAAUAGGACCACAAACCGUUUUUGGGCGC